UAUCAUUAACGUUAUACGGGCCUGGCACCCUCUAUGGGUAAAUGGCCUCAUUUAAGAAGGACUUAAAUCGUUAAUUUCUCAUACUAGAAUAUUGAUGUUCCAUACACUGCAUCUCACAUUUGCCGUAUAGACAAAGUACUUAGUCA
rnacentral:rRNA from 1 species